rnacentral:lncRNA from 1 species
AUUUAAUCCAUAAAAAAUGCUUGAAGAAUGCCAACAUGCACAAUGUUGCUCCAACAGCCAAGUUAUGAUCUUGGAAGAGUUUGCUGUCCAGUGACUUCCUGAUGGCAUUCAAGGUUGGCAUAGAACGCUACCUGGCCCAUGGGUUACUCGCCAUCUAAAACCAAAAAUCAGGACAUAUUUAUAUCUUAUUGCUAUGUCCAAAGGUUGAUUUUUCUUCACUUGGUGAGCAUCUUCUGUUUGGCAUUUCCACAUGUAAUAAGUUAAGAACUGAUUUGAGAAGAUAUCCAAAAAAUGCAAUUGUAUAAAUCCAAAUAAAAAAUUUAAAUAAUCAUCCCAAGAUGGCUGUGGUGAUAGCACGAUGAACAAAGGUCUGUUGUAAGUCACAGAGUCAACCUGGGUAAAACCACAGGACAAGGAACAUCCUCAUGGGACACCAGGGUGGGGAGAAAGAGCCUCUCUGCAAGCAUUUGUAUGCAAUACUAUUACUAACAAUUUCUCAUGAAUAAGCGCACUCGAUCCUCACCAUCCUCAGGGAUAGAUGCUAUCUUUCUCUCUUUCUCAAUGGUGAAACUGAAGCUCAGAGAAAUGAAAGGACUCCCCUGACAACACUGCAUGUGAGUGUAAAUGGAGGCAAGUAGCUUUGGCUGACUUUGGAUGAUGCACUUG